UCACCCUACGGGAGGCAGCAGUGAGGAAUAUUGGUCAAUGGACGCAAGUCUGAACCAGCCAUGCCGCGUGCAGGAUGACGGCUCUAUGAGUUGUAAACUGCUUUUGUACGAGGGUAAACCCCGAUACGUGUAUCGGGUUGAAAGUAUCGUACGAAUAAGGAUCGGCUAACUCCGUGCCAGCAGCCGCGGUAAUACGGAGGAUCCGCGCGUUAUCCGGAUUUAUUGGGUUUAAAGGGAGCGUAGGCGGUUUGA
rnacentral:rRNA from 1 species